rnacentral:rRNA from 1 species
CCGAUGGCGGGGGAUAACUACUGGAAACGGUAGCUAAUACCGCAUAACGUCGCAAGACCAAAGAGGGGGACCUUCGGGCCUCUUGCCAUCGGAUGUGCCCAGAUGGGAUUAGCUAGUAGGUGGGGUAACGGCUCACCUAGGCGACGAUCCCUAGCUGGUCUGAGAGGAUGACCAGCCACACUGAAACUGAGACACGGUCCAG